rnacentral:lncRNA from 1 species
GGCAAAUUAAAACAAGUCACUGACCAAUGUUCCAGAGUAGAAGGAGCAUUACCCUGUGUAACAGUUCUUAUAAAAUAUCCUAAGAAUAUCUGUAUCAAAUAAUUUGUACUGAUCAGAAAAAAGGUCUGAGAAGAAACAGUAGGCAAGGAACUGAACAAUCAAAAAUGACAUAGUAACAUAAAAUAUUUCCAUCACUAUUUAAAUGCCAAAUUAAAUCAAGCAAUAGUAAAAACAAAACAGAAACAAAAACAACAACAAAGAAACAGAAAACUAAAGCUCUUCUGUUUAAAAUAACAGCACUGUUUUUGCUUAUUUUCAAUGAUUUUUUUUUCUUAUGAACACACUAUAUACUUGAUUAUUUCUUUCAUACAGAGUAAUGUGUCCAUUCGGUUUGGUCUGUCACUUCAGUGAAGCUGAUUGGCAGUCAGCCCAUCACAUCUCACCUUUGACACAUAUUUAAUGCUUUUUUCCUCUUACGUUCACUACUCUGGUGCCUCCUCUUCUCAAGUUAAAUACUUCUUCUUCUUUUUCUUUAUACAGUGCAGAGUAUAUGGGCUUAGGAUAUGGAGAUUUUCCUCUACUCCAGUUCACUGUCUAGUUCUGAGUUCAGUGGUGUGCAGUAGUUUGGCUUGUCUGAAGGUACGUACCCUGGGAGACACAAACACUUGUACGAACCUUCUGUGUUAAUGCAUUUGGCGUUCUUGCAGAGAGACAUCCUGUUGUUCAGCUCAUUGCACUCAUUCACAUCAACACAAGUCAUCUUGGCCAUGUCCAGGUGAUAACCAUCAAAGCAGUCACAGGUGUAGCCCUCCUGCACUCUCACACAUCGGCCAUUUUCACAUCCAUUUAGAAUACCACAUUCCUCUGCCUGUAACUCCUCAAAGCUGUUCAGAAAACGGUCUUCGACAAAGUAUGGAUUAGUUUCUGGAGUGUAGUGCUCCUCAAAGUCAACCAAAGCAUCUUGUCCAUAUGGCCGUCGAGAUCCUGGAACAGGAAUGUUGCACAGCUGGGCAUAAUCCUCUGAGGGGAGAAAGAAAAGAGGAUAUAAAACUAAUCACACUUGUAAAACAGGCUGUGUUGCAUUAGUCGCAGUGCAUUGUGGCUCAUAUUAGCUGGAAACAAACCUAUCUUCCUAGAAACACCAUAAAUCUGCGAUUCCCACAAAUCAUUGUCUCUUCAAGAAGAAUGUCAUUAAAACGUAAUGAGCCAAAUGCAGACUAUUAAGUCAUAAUAGGGAUAACACCAGAGAUGGAUUUUAGUCAGUAACUGUACCAAAAGUUAUGGGUUAUGUUCUUCUGGUCUGCUCUUGCCUUGAGCGGAGGGAUGCUGUGUGUCCCACUGCCAGUGCACCCUGAGCAGAACUGGCUGUGCUUAUGCUCUUUGCUGCUUUAAUAAAGGCUCUCCCAGCCCUUUGUCUGCUAGCAGAAGACAUCCCAAAGGAAGCAAAAGAGGCUGUAUUUCUGGCAGUGCCAGCCAACCUGCAGAAAUCACAGAAUAAAAAACCCUUCCAAAAUAGCAUGCGCUCCUUUGCAAACCAUUCUUCAAACCACAGGCUUAAUUGUCAGUGCUGUUCAAGGUCUGCUUGGCUGCAAACCUGACAGGGUGAGGGGAAACGUAUGGGAGAAAUGGCUACACUGAAAUUCUGCCUCUCAAGUGAAAACAUACCAAAGCAGCUCUUCAUUUUAGGUGUCAGACUCCAUGUCUGAAAUGCUGGUAUACAGAGUUUGAUUUUUAUUUUUUUUUCAAUUUGAUUUAUUGUGUUCCCUCAGCUUGUCUCCUGUAUUUUUAGUAAAUGGUAAUUUAUUUGAGACUGGAAACUCAGUUAAAAUCC